UACGUAGGGGGCAAGCGUUGUCCGGAUUUAUUGGGCGUAAAGAGCGUGUAGGCGGUUUGGUAGGUCCGCUGUGAAAACUCGAGGCUCAACCUCGAGACGCCGGUGGAAACCAUCAGGCUAGAGUCCGGUAGAGGAGCAGGGAAUUCCAGGUGUAGCGGUGAAAUGCGUAGAUAUCUGGAGGAACACCGAUGGCGAAGGCAGGUCUCUGGGCAUUAACUGACGCUGAGGAGCGAAAGCAUGGGGAGCGAACAGG
rnacentral:rRNA from 1 species